GAGUGGAGUUCAGUGGUUGAACAUUUGCCUGGCAUGCAUUCAGCCCUGGGUUCCAUCCCCGGUACCAUGCA
rnacentral:tRNA from 1 species